rnacentral:rRNA from 1 species
UACGGAGGGGGCUAGCGUUGUUCGGAAUUACUGGGCGUAAAGCGCACGUAGGCGGCUUUGUAAGUUAGAGGUGAAAGCCCGGGGCUCAACUCCAGAACUGCCUUUGAUACUGGAGAGCUUGAGUCCGGGAGAGGUGAGUGGAACUCCGAGUGUAGAGGUGAAAUUCGUAGAUAUUCGGAAGAACACCAGUGGCGAAGGCGGAUCACUGGCCCGGUACUGACGCUGAUGUGCGAAAGCGUGGGGAGCAAACAGG